UACGUAGGGGGCUAGCGUUGUCCGGAUUUAUUGGGCGUAAAGGGCGCGUAGGCGGCCAUGCGUGUCUUCCGUGAAAUCCCUCGGCUUAACUGAGGACGUGCGGAAGAAACUGCAAGGCUCGAGUCCGGGAGAGGGGGGGUGGAAUUCCCAGUGUAGCGGUGAAAUGCGUAGAUAUUGGGAGGAACACCGGUGGCGAAGGCGGCCCCCUGGACCGGUACUGACGCUGAGGCGGCGAAAAGCGUGGGUAGCAAACGGG
rnacentral:rRNA from 1 species